rnacentral:rRNA from 1 species
UACGGAGGGGGCUAGCGUUGUUCGGAAUUACUGGGCGUAAAGCGAGUGUAGGCGGUUUGGUAAGUCGGAUGUGAAAGCCCCGGGCUCAACCCGGGAAGUGCACUCGAUACUACCAAGCUAGAGUAUCGGAGAGGUUGGUGGAAUUCUCGGUGUAGAGGUGAAAUUCGUAGAUAUCGAGAGGAACACCGGUGGCGAAGGCGGCCAACUGGACGAAUACUGACGCUGAGACUCGAAAGCGUGGGGAGCAAACAGG